rnacentral:rRNA from 1 species
AGAUUGAACGCUGGCGGCAUGCCUUACACAUGCAAGUCGAACGGCAGCACGGGGGCAACCCUGGUGGCGAGUGGCGAACGGGUGAGUAAUAUAUCGGAACGUGCCCUGGAGUGGGGGAUAACGUAGCGAAAGUUACGCUAAUACCGCAUACGAUCUACGGAUGAAAGUGGGGGAUUCGCAAGACCUUGCGCGAAUGGAGCGGCCGAUGGCAGAUUAGGUAGUUGGUGAGGUAAAGGCUCACCAAGCCUUCGAUCUGUAGCUGGUCUGAGAGGACGACCAGCCACACUGGGACUGAGACACGGCCAGACUCCCGACGGGAGCAGCGAGUACGGGGAUUUUGGACAAGUGGGACGAAAGCCGUGACGUCCAGCCAGUCGCCG